rnacentral:rRNA from 1 species
UACGGGGGGGGCAAGCGUUGUUCGGAAUUACUGGGCGUAAAGGGCGCGUAGGCGGCCUGCUAAGUCGGAUGUGAAAUCCCUCGGCUCAAUCGAGGAACUGCAUCCGAUACUGGCGGGCUUGAAUCCGGGAGAGGGAUGUGGAAUUCCAGGUGUAGCGGUGAAAUGCGUAGAUAUCUGGAGGAACACCAAUGGCGAAGGCAGCUCGCUGGGACGUGACUGACGCUGAGACGCGAAAGCGUGGGGAGCAAACAGG